rfam:Aedes albopictus isolate Foshan contig38386, whole genome shotgun sequence.
CAAACGGUCCUUUUCAGGACCACUGAAAAUGUAAAUCAGAUAAUUU